UACGGAGGGUGCAGGCGUUGUUCGGAAUCAUUGGGCGUAAAGCGCGUGUAGGCGGCCUGGUAAGUCGGGUGUGAAAUCCCGGGGCCCAACCCCGGAACUGCAUUCGAAACUGCCUCGCUAGAGUCCCGGAGAGGAAGGCGGAAUUCCCGGUGUAGAGGUGAAAUUCGUAGAGAUCGGGAGGAACACCAGCGGCGAAGGCGGCCUUCUGGACGGUGACUGACGAUGAGACGCGAAAGAGUGGGGAGCAAACAGG
rnacentral:rRNA from 1 species